rnacentral:rRNA from 1 species
GAUGAACGCUGGCGGCGUGCCUAAUACAUGCAAGUCGAGCGAACAGACGAGGAGCUUGCUGCUCGGACGUUAGCGGCGGACGGGUGAGUAACACGUGGAUAACCUACCUAUAAUACUGGGAUCACUUCGGGAAACCGGAGCUAAUACCAUAUAAUAUCUUGCACCGCAUUGUUCAAUAGUGAAAGACGGUGUUGCUGGCACUUAUAGAGGGAUCCGCGCUGUAUGGGCUAGUUGGUACGGUAACGGCUUACCAAGGCAACGAGGCGUAGCCGACCUGAGAGGGGGAUCGGCCACCUUGGAACUGAGACACGGUCCAGACUACUACGGGAGGCAGCAGUAGGGAAUCGUCCGCAAUGGGCGAAAGCAUGACGGAGCAACGCCGCGCGAGUGAUGAAGGUCUUCGGAUCGUAAAACUCUGUUAUUAGGGAAGAACAGAUGUGUAAGGAACUGUGCACUUCUUGACGGUACCUAAUCAGAAAGCCACGGCUAACUACGUG